UACGUAGGGGGCUAGCGUUGUCCGGAAUCAUUGGGCGUAAAGAGCGUGUAGGCGGCCCGGUAAGUCCGCUGUAAAAGUCAAAGGCUCAACCUUUGAAUGUCAGUGGAUACUGUCGGGCUAGAGUCCGGAAGAGGCGAGUGGAAUUCCUGGUGUAGCGGUGAAAUGCGCAGAUAUCAGGAGGAACACCCAUUGCGAAGGCAGCUCGCUGGGACGUUACUGACGCUGAGACGCGAAAGCGUGGGGAGCAAACAGG
rnacentral:rRNA from 1 species